GCGAGAGUAGUUCAGUUGGUAGAAUGUCUCCUUCCCAAGGAGAAGGUCGCGGGUUCGAAUCCCGUCUCUCGCU
rnacentral:tRNA from 1 species